rnacentral:rRNA from 1 species
AACGAACGCUGGCGGCAGGCCUAACACAUGCAAGUCGAACGCCGUAGCAAUACGGAGUGGCAGACGGGUGAGUAACACGUGGGAACGUGCCCAAAGGUACGGAACAACUCCGGGAAACUGGAGCUAAUACCGUAUGUGCCCGAAAGGGGAAAGAUUUAUCGCCUUUGGAUCGGCCCGCGUCUGAUUAGCUAGUUGGUGGGGUAAUGGCCCACCAAGGCGACGAUCAGUAGCUGGUCUGAGAGGAUGAUCAGCCACACUGGGACUGAGACACGGCCCAGACUCCUACGGGAGGCAGCAGUGGGGAAUAUUGGACAAUGGGCGCAAGCCUGAUCCAGCCAUGCCGCGUGAGUGAUGAAGGCCUUAGGGUUGUAAAGCUCUUUUGUCCGGGAAGAUAAUGACGGUACCGGAAGAAUAAGCUCCGGCUAACUUCGUGCCAGCCGCCGCCGUAAGAC